rnacentral:rRNA from 1 species
AACGAACGCUGGCGGCGCGCCUAACACAUGCAAGUCGAACGAGAAGGCGUAGCAAUACGCUUGUAGAGUGGCGAACGGGUGAGUAAUACGUGGGUGACCUACCCUCGAGUGGGGAAUAACCCGCCGAAAGGCGGGCUAAUGCCGCGUACGCUUCCGUCCUCACGGGGACGGAAGGAAAGCUGUACCGUGGGUACGGCGCUCAAGGAUGGGCUCACGUCCUAUCAGCUUGUUGGUAGGGUAACGGCCACCAAGGCUACGACGGGUAGCUGGUCUGAGAGGACGAUCAGCCACACUGGCACUGCGACACGGGCCAGACUCCUACGGGAGGCAGCAGUGAGGAAUAUUGCGCAAUGGGCGAAAGCCUGACGCAGCGACGCCGCGUGGGGA